CCCCAGUGGGGCCACACCCAUUGGCCUGGCUCCGCCCCUGGGCAGUGCCAGGGCCGUCCCCCUCGUGCAUUGGGCACCUCCCCGGGUUUUAAAGAGAUACUCUGUGUGCAGAAGGUCCAGGCCUGCGUGGUGCUUCGGGAGACCACAACAUCAUCCUGACAUUGACAUUUGAAGACUGAGAAAGCUAGUUUUGCCUGGCAGACAGCAUCAAAUCGUGAAACCUAGAUCUGAAAUCUCUGUCUUCUACCUGUCUGCUGCAGUUCCUAACCCAGAAAUGGGCCUCAUCUGUGUAAGAACAGUGUGAUAGCCUUCUGAGGAACAGAGAACAGAUUACAGAGGAAUAAGGGUCGGGGAUGGCGCAGGCACUAAACAAAUUGUAGCUGUUUUCCUUCCUCUGCCUUCCUUCUCUACUUGAGAGGAUAGAAAGCUGCGGAUUCCUUGCGAGCAAAUAUGGUUUGAUCAAAUAAGACCCCAUGAAGCAAUGGCCCAG